rnacentral:rRNA from 1 species
UGCUCAAUGAAUAUUAAAUAGCCGCAGUAUUUUGACUGUGCAAAGGUAGCAUAAUAAUUAGUUUCUUAAUUAGAAACUGGAAUGAAUGAUUGGACAAGAAAAUUACUGUUUCAUUUUUAAAUUUAUUGAAUUUUAUUUUUAAGUGAAAAAGCUUAAAUGUGUAUAAAAGACGAGAAGACCCUAUAGAGUUUAAUAUAUUUUACUAAUAAAUUGAUAGAAUUAAUAUUUAGUAGAAUUUAUUUAGUUGGGGUGAUUGAAAGAUUUAAGAAAUUCUUUUACUUAAAAAUUGUUAGUUUACAAAUUUUUUAUCUAAAGUUUAUAAAUAUAAAAUAAAUUACCUUAGGGAUAACAGCGUAAUUUUUCUUUAAAGUUCUUAUUAUAAGAAAAGUUUGCGACCUCGAUGUUGGAUUAAAAUUAAUUUUUGGUGCAGUAACUGAAAAAUUAGGUCUGUUCGACCUUUAAAAUUUUACAUGAUCUGAGUUUAAACCGGUGUGAGCCAGGUUGGAUUCUAUCUUUAUGAAGUUAAAUAUAUUUUAGUACGAAAGGACCAAGUAUAUAUUAAAUUAAUUG